rnacentral:rRNA from 1 species
UACGUAGGUCCCGAGCGUUGUCCGGAUUUAUUGGGCGUAAAGCGAGCGCAGGUGGUUUAUUAAGUCUGGUGUAAAAGGCAGUGGCUCAACCAUUGUAUGCAUUGGAAACUGGUAGACUUGAGUGCAGGAAAGGAGAGUGGAAUUCCAUGUGUAGCGGUGAAAUGCGUAGAUAUAUGGAGGAACACCGGUGGCAAAAGCGGCUCUCUGGCCUGUAACUGACACUGAGGCUCGAAAGCGUGGGGAGCAAACAGG